UGACACAAUUAUUUUACUGUAGAAAACCUUCUCAAUGUGAGAAAGAAAAAAACACGAAACCCUUAGGCCUCUUAAACUUCCAUUAUAAUGAUAAUGGGAAUACAACAACUUCACCCUUAGGUGGAUUUCACUAUAAUUAAUCUCUCAAUUUUUAAGAAACACUAUCAUAAAUUGGCUCACUAUUUCUCUCACAAGGAAACUCUCUAUGAGGAUCACUUUUCUCUAUUGAACAAGACUAUCUUUCUCUCUUGCUUCUUGU
rnacentral:lncRNA from 1 species